CCAGUUUGGCCCAUUCAAAGCACCUUUUCAUGAUCCCAUCGGUUUAGUCCGGAAAACGUAAGUCUAUCCACCUCCGCUCCUUGCCUCCGCAUCGCCUUUGUCACCUCCGCCGCUCUGCUGUCUCUGCUCCAUCUACUUCCUCUGUUGCUUCUUACUGAAGAGUUUGAUAUUUAAACUUCAAGAUGCCGGCUACAGCGGGUAGGGUUCGCAUGCCUGCAAACAAUCGGGUGCAUAGUAGUGCAGCCCUCCAAACCCACGGUAUAUGGCAGAGUGCGAUCGGCUAUGAUCCCUAUGCACCCAAUAAGGAUGAUGCCCAGAACUCUUCAAAUCCCAAUGCAUCUAAUGCUGAACCAGAUGCUGAGAAUGCCUAUGCAAGCUUCCAGGGCCUCCUUGCACUUGCCCGUAUAACUGGGUCAAAUGCCAAUGAGACUCGUGGCGUGUGCAAGAAGUGUGGCCGUGUUGGACACCUCACAUUUCAGUGUAGGAACUUUUUGAGUGUUAAGGAUGAUAGUAAGGAUAAAGACCCAGAAGCGAUUGAGGCUGCUGCAAUGGCUGAGUUGGAGAAGUUGAAGGGGAAUGUGGGUAGGGUGAAAGGAAAAAGCGCGGCCGAGAGUGAUGAAGAGGAUGAGAGUGAGGAUUCGGAUUCAGAUGUCGAUUCAGAGAUUGAGAAGAUUAUCGCAAAGAGAAAUGGGAAAAAAAUUAGUAAGGAAAGGUCAAUGAAAAAGGAGUUAGAUGAAGAUGAGCCAGAUAGGGCUUCUAGGGAGAGGAAGAGUAGAGGGAGAUCUAAGAAGAGGAGUGGGAAGAGAGGAAGCGGUGAUUCAGAUGAUUCGGAUGAUUCCGAUAAAAGUAGGAAGAGGAGAAAGAAGGAUAGGCAGAGAAAAAGGAAUGAGUCCUCGGAUGAGGAUAAUGAGCGUCGUCGACGGCACAGAAAGAGUAGGAAGGAGAAGAGGAGGAGGAGAAGCCACCGAGAUUCUGAUUCUGAUUCAGAUGCAUCUGAGGAUUCUGCUAGAGAGCGUAAGCACAAGAGCAGGAGGGCAGCUUCACCAUCUGAUUCUGAUGCCUCAGAUGAUUUGAGGGUCAGUAGGAGCAAGAAGAGAUAUGAGAAGAAGAACAGGAAACGCCAGCAUGAUUAGGAUGUUUAGAAUGCAUUUAGUGAAAGAUGAUGCUGUCAGAUGUUUAUUAUGCGAUAGAAAUGCAGGAUAAUGGAUAUGACGAUCUCUCAUAAAGUUACCAAACCAGUGAUGGAACCCAAAUGGUGUACAAAACAAAUUUGUACCUGCUUGUUUGUGUACGUGGAUUAUUUGGAGGUUUCACUUGUUUAAUUUGUGUGAUUUUUCUUUUUCUUGGCGUUUAAUUUGUAUGCUGCAUUUGUGUAUUGAUGUGCCUUGACAUGUUCACCUACUGUUUUGGAGGUGUCUUCCAAUUGGUAUACUCUACUCUACAAAGACUAUAUGGCAGUUUGACUGUAUAUUUGCUGUGAUUGGAUCUUGUUAUUUUUAUCAAAAUUGAGUUGUAAAUUAUUUUUUAA